UAACUGUUUGCACAUUACAUGAGAAGGUGGUUUUCCGUACACGCCCCGAGGCUUUACCGACGUGACUAUUCAGUUGUAUAUAAAUAAUUAUGCUGAUUACAUAACAAACCUAUCACCAAACUCAUCUUCUGUCGAUGUUUUUUGAAGGAUGUCAAAUACCUUCAUCAGCACAACGAUGUUACUCUCAAAAACAGACAUUAUUUUUGCAGAACCAUUGAAAUCGAUACUUAAAAAAAAAGAAACGUGAUUAAAGAUGUCGAUGUAAACUGUGAAGGUUACAUUUCACGGUUGAAGUUCGGAAUUUACUGUUGUGAUAGCAAGUGAUAGAAAAGUAUUCAUGCAAUGGCUGAUGUCUGGCGACAUACCAUAAGGGGCAAAAAGACAAUACAGACUACAAUUCUGUGUGGUGAAGAAGUUUCAAUAGCGAGAUUUAGAGCAUUAAGUCAGCUUUCGGUUAUCUUAUUACUCAAUAAAGGCUUCAAAAGUAUUAUGGUUAUGUCGAUUAUGUAACUUUGAAAUAUGAUUGCUCCUGCCACUUUUUGAAUGAAAAAAACAUGGAUACGUCUUCUAAGA